UCCCUGGAGGACUAGUGGUUCAGUCUUGGUGCUCUCACCGCUGAGGCCCGGGUUCGAUUCCUGGCCAGGGAA
rnacentral:tRNA from 1 species